CCCGAGGGCUGUCCUGGCAGAGGCCCCCCUCGCUCUUUCUGGCGGGAACAGGGCCAGCAGCGAAAGAACAGUCGCAGAGGGAAAGCGGGAAAGAGAUGGGGGAAAGUGUGUGUGUGUGAGUGUGCGCUUGUGUGCAUGUGUGUGCGUGUGUGUGUCAAGGAAAAAAGCUCGCAGUCCAGCAGCCCGGGCCUGGGAGGCUUGUGAGCUGGGCCUUUCGUAAUUGUCCCCUCCCCGCGGCCCCCUCCCCCAGGCCUCCCCCCUCUCCCGCCCUCCCGCCCGCCCUCUCUCCCUCCCUCCUUCCCUCGCAGCCGACGAGGCAGCAAUUAGGCUUGGGGGAUAAAACGAGGUGCGGAGAGCGGGCUGGGGCAUUUCUCCCCGAGAUGGCGGGUCUGACGGCGGCGGCCCCACGGCCCGGAGUCCUCCUGCUCCUGCUGUCCAUCCUCCACCCCUCUCGGCCUGGAGGAGUCCCUGGGGCCAUUCCUGGUGGAGUUCCUGGAGGAGUCUAUUAUCCAGGGGCUGGUCUCGGAGGCCUUGGAGGAGGAGCGCUGGGGCCUGGAGGCAAACCUCUCAAGCCAGGUCCUGGAGGGCUUGCGGGCACUGGCCUUGGGGCAGGGCUCGGCGCCUUCCCUGCAGGUGCCUUUCCGGGGGCUCUGGUGCCUGGCGGAGUGGCUGAUGCUGCUGCAGCUUACAAAGCUGCCAAGGCUGGCGCUGGGCUCGGUGGUGUCCCAGGAGUUGGUGGCAUUGGUGGUGUUGGCGGUGUUGGUGGCUUAGGAGUGUCUACAGGUGCGGUGGUUCCUCAGCCUGGAGCCGGAGUGAAGCCUGGGAAAGUGCCCGGUGUGGGGCUGCCAGGUGUAUACCCAGGUGGAGUGCUCCCAGGUACAGGAGCUCGGUUCCCCGGUGUGGGGGUGCUCCCUGGAGUUCCCACCGGAGCAGGAGUUAAGCCCAAGGCUCCAGGUGUAGGUGGAGCUUUUGCUGGAAUCCCAGGAGUUGGACCCUUUGGGGUACAGCAACCUGGAGUCCCACUGGGGUACCCCAUCAAGGCCCCCAAGCUGCCCGGUGGCUAUGGACUGCCCUACAGCACAGGGAAACUACCUUACGGCUAUGGGCCCGGAGGAGUGGCUGGUGCAGCGGGCAAGGCUGGUUACCCAACCGGGACAGGGGUUGGCCCCCAGGCAGCAGCAGCAGCGGCAGCUAAAGCGGCAGCAAAGUUGGGUGAGUGCCCCUGGAGUCCCCACCUGGUGGCCUCCAGCCCCCUAGCCUCUCCAUUCCCAUUACUAUUGAGAGCCUGCCUCAUAGAUGAAUGACCAAAGUGGCCCCUACUUAUCACCAUUUACUCAAAAUUUUCAACACCACCCAUCUAUCUAUCCCUCCCUCCAACCAUUCUUCCAUGCGUCCAUGCAUCCAUUUAUCCUUCUAUCCAUCUAUUACUUUCUCCAUCCCUCCCUCCUUCCAUCCAUUUCUCUAUGCAUCCAUCUAUCCAUCCAUCCACUCAUCCAGCCAUCCUUUCAUCCAUCCAUCUAUCCCUCCCUCCAUCCAUUCCCAUUCCUCCAUGCAUCCAUCUAUCCAUCCAUCCAUUCAUCUACUCAUCUACCCACCCAUGCAUCCAUCCAUCCACUCAUCCACCUGUUCAUUCAUCCAUCCAUCUCUCCCUCCAUCCAUCCAUCCAUCCAUCCCCUCAUCCAUCCAUCCAUCCCCUCAUCCAUCCAUCCAUUUAUCCAUCCAUCACUCCCUCGCUCCAUUCAUCCAUCCAUCAUCUAUCCAUCUAUUCCUCCGUGCACCCAUUUGUCCAUCCAACCAUUCCUCCAUGCAUCCAUCUAUCCCUCCAUCCGUUCCUCCAGGCACCCAUCCAUCCAUUUCUCCAUGCAUGCAUCCAUCCUUCCAUCUCUCCAUGCA
rnacentral:lncRNA from 10 species